CAAAAAUGAAAUCGCUCAGUCGUGUCCGACUGUUAGCGACCCCAUGGACUGCAGCCCACCAGGCUCCUCCGUCCAUGGGAUUUUCCAGGCAAGAGUACUGGAGUGGAGUUCCAUUGCCUUCUACGAGACAAGGGCUGUUGGGUUUCUGCCACAUAGUUCAUCCUACCUUGCUGCUGCUGCUAAGUCGCUUCAGUCGUGUCCAACUCUGUGCGACCCCAUAGAAGACAGCCCACCAGGCUCCCCCGUCCCUGGGACUCUCCAGGCAAGAACACUGGAGUGGGUUGCCAUUUCCUUCUCCAGCCAUCCUACCCUAAGUCUUCAUAAUCCACCCCCUCCUCUGCUGUAGGCUCAACUCACCCUGCCACAUUUUUUUAGAAGGCAGCAAUCCUUCCAUCUCUUCAUUUUCUUUCUGAAGACUAUCAUAAUUUAAAAUUUCUAAAAUGUCUUAAGUUGGAAUAAAAUAAAAUGACAU